rnacentral:rRNA from 1 species
UACAGAGGUCCCAAGCGUUGUUCGGAUUUACUGGGCGUAAAGGGUGCGUAGGUGGCGAGGUAAGUUUGAUGUGAAAUCUCCGAGCUCAACUCGGAAAUGGCAUUGAAUACUAUCCCGCUUGAGGGUCGGAGGGGAGACUGGAAUUCUCGGUGUAGCAGUGAAAUGCGUAGAUAUCUAGAGGAACGCCAAAGGUGUAGACAGGCGACUGGGCCGAUUCUGACGCUGAGGCACGAAAGCGUGGGUAGCGAACGGG